rnacentral:rRNA from 1 species
UACCGUAUGUGCCCUUCGGGGGAAAGAUUUAUCGGGCAAAGGAUCGGCCCGCGUUGGAUUAGGUAGUUGGUGGGGGUAAUGGCCUACCAAGCCGACGAUCCAUAGCUGGUUUGAGAGGAUGAUCAGCCACACUGGGACUGAGACACGGCCCAGACUCCUACGGGAGGCAGCAGUGGGGAAUCUUAGACAAUGGGCGCAAGCCUGAUCUAGCCAUGCCGCGUGAUCGAUGAAGGCCUUAGGGUUGUAAAGAUCUUUCAGUGGGAAGAUAAUGACUGUACCCACAGAAGAAGCCCCGGCUAACUCCGUG